rnacentral:rRNA from 1 species
UCCGUAGGUGAACCUGCGGAGGGAUCAUUACUGAGUUUACGCUCUACAACCCUUUGUGAACAUACCUAUAACUGUUGCUUCGGCGGGUAGGGUCUCCGCGACCCUCCCGGCCUCCCGCCCCCGGGCGGGUCGGCGCCCGCCGGAGGAUAACCAAACUCUGAUUUAACGACGUUUCUUCUGAGUGGUACAAGCAAAUAAUCAAAACUUUUAACAACGGAUCUCUUGGUUCUGGCAUCGAUGAAGAACGCAGCGAAAUGCGAUAAGUAAUGUGAAUUGCAGAAUUCAGUGAAUCAUCGAAUCUUUGAACGCACAUUGCGCCCGCCAGCAUUCUGGCGGGCAUGCCUGUUCGAGCGUCAUUUCAACCCUCAAGCUCUGCUUGGUGUUGGGGCCCUACAGCUGAUGUAGGCCCUCAAAGGUAGUGGCGGACCCUCCCGGAGCCUCCUUUGCGUAGUAACUUUACGUCUCGCACUGGGAUCCGGAGGGACUCUUGCCGUAAAACCCCCAAUUUUCCAAAGGUUGACCUCGGAUCAGGUAGGAAUACCCGCUGAACUUAAGCAUAUCA